rnacentral:rRNA from 1 species
AGCAGCCGCGGUAAUUCCAGCUCCAAUAGCGUAUAUUAAAGUUGCUGCAGUUAAAAAGCUCGUAGUUGAAUUUCGGGACUAAUAUGUCGGUCGUGCCUCGGUACGUACUGGCAUUGUUGGUUUCUACCUUCUGACGAACCAUGAUGUCAUUUAUUUGGUGUCGUGGGGAAUCAGGACUGUUACUUUGAAAAAAUUAGAGUGUUUAAAGCAGGCUCACGCUUGAAUACAUUAGCAUGGAAUAAUGAAAUAGGACGUUUGAUUCUAUUUUGUUGGUUUCUAGGAUCGACGUAAUGAUUAAUAGGGAUAGUUGGGGGCAUUAGUAUUCAAUUGUCAGAGGUGAAAUUCUUGGAUUUAUUGAAGACUAACUACUGCGAAAGCAUUUGCCAAGGAUGUUUUCAUUAAUCAAGAACGAAAGUUAGGGGAUCGAAGACGAUCAGAUACCGUCGUAGUCUUAACCAUAAACUAUGCCGACUAGGGAUCGGAUGAUGUUAAUUUUUUAA